rnacentral:rRNA from 1 species
GGACCCGCACAAGCGGUGGAGCAUGUGGUUUAAUUCGAUGCAACGCGAAGAACCUUACCUACCCUUGACAUACCUGGGAUCUUAUAGAGAUAUAGGAGUGCCGCAAGGAACCAGGAUACAGGUGCUGCAUGGCUGUCGUCAGCUCGUGUCGUGAGAUGUUGGGUUAAGUCCCGUAACGAGCGCAACCCUUGUCUUUAUUUACCAUCAAGUAAUGUUGGGCACUAUAAAGAGACUGCCGGUGAUAAGCCGGAGGAAGGUGGGGACGACGUCAAGUCAUCAUGGCCCUUACGGGUAGGCUACACACGUGCUACAAUGGAUGAUACAAAGGGCAGCGAAGCCGUGAGGUGGAGCGAAUCUCAUAAAGUCAUUCUCAGUCCGGAUUGAAGUCUGCAACUCGACUUCAUGAAGUUGGAAUC